UACGUAGGUGACCAGCGUUGUCCGGAUUUACUGGGCGUAAAGAGCGCGCAGGCGGUCGUUCAAGUCGAGUGUGAAAGCCCCCGGCUCAACUGGGGAGGGUCAUUCGAUACUGAUCGACUCGAAGGCAGGAGAGGGAAGUGGAAUUCCCGGUGUAGUGGUGAAAUGCGUAGAUAUCGGGAGGAACACCAGUGGCGAAGGCAGCUUGCUGGGACGGUACUGACGCUGAGGCGCGAAAGCGUGGGGAGCAAACAGG
rnacentral:rRNA from 1 species